UACGGAGGGGGCUAGCGUUGUUCGGAAUUACUGGGCGUAAAGCGCACGUAGGCGGCUUUGUAAGUUAGAGGUGAAAGCCCGGGGCUCAACUCCGGAAUUGCCUUUAAGACUGCAUCGCUAGAAUUGUGGAGAGGUAAGUGGAAUUCCGAGUGUAGAGGUGAAAUUCGUAGAUAUUGGGAAGAACACCGGUGGCGAAGGCGGCGACCUGGUCCGAGACUGACGCUGAGGCGCGAAAGCGUGGGGAGCAAACAGG
rnacentral:rRNA from 1 species